rnacentral:rRNA from 1 species
AACGAACGCUGGCGGCAGGCCUAACACAUGCAAGUCGAGCGCCCGGAUUUAUCCGGGAGCGGCGCACGGGCGAGUAACGCGUGGGAACAUGCCCUGAAGUACGGAACAACCUGGGGAAACCUUUGCUAAAACCGUAUACGCCCUGAGGGGGAAAGAUUUAUAGCUUUGGGAUUGGCCCGCGUUGGAUUAGCUGGUUGGGUUGGUAACGGCGCACCAAGGCGACGAUCCGUAACUGGUCUGAGAGGAUGACCAGUCACACUGGGACUGAGACACGGCCCAGACUCCUACGGGAGGCAGCAGUGGGGAAUAUUGGACAAUGGGCGAAAGCCUGAUCCAGCCAUGCCGCGUGAGUGAAGAAGGCCUUCGGGUUGUAAAGCUCUUUCAGCGGGGACGAUGAUGACGGUACCCGCAGAAGAAGCCCCGGCUAACUUCGUGCCAGCCGCCGCCGUAA